rfam:Glycine max cultivar Williams 82 chromosome 1, whole genome shotgun sequence.
UCAUACGGAUUGCUGAUCUGUAUGAUCCAUACGGAUUGGCAAUCCAUAUGGUCGUACGGAUUGUUGAUCCGUAUGUGCAUAC